AGUAUCUGUUCUUAUCAGUUUAAUAUCUGAUACGUCAUCUAUCCGAGGACAAUAUAUUAAAUAGAUUUUUGGAGUAGGGAGUUGGAAUAGAAGCUUGCUCCGUCCACUCCACGCAUCGACCUGGUAUUGCAUUACCUCUAGGAACAGUGC
rnacentral:snRNA from 1 species